rnacentral:rRNA from 1 species
UUUCAGGUCGGGCCUGCCCAUUGAGAAUAUUUAAAGGCCGCGGUAUAUUGACCGUGCAAAGGUAGCAUAAUCACUAGUUUUUUAAUUGGAAGCUUGUAUGAAAGGCUUGAUGAAAAAAUUACUGUCUCUUUAAGAUUUGUUUAGAAUUUUAUUUUUAAGUGAAAAAGCUUAAAUUUAUAUGGAAGACGAGAAGACCCUAUAGAGUUUUAUAAAUAAAUAUAAGUUUGGUAUUAGGGAUAAUAGUCUGUAUUUAUGCUUAUUUAUUUUGUUGGGGUGAUUAAAAAAUUGAAUUAACUUUUUUAAAUUGAAAUAUUAAUGUGUAAGUUUGUGAUCCUAAAAAUAGAUUAAGAGAAUAAAUUACCUUAGGGAUAACAGCGUAAUUUUUUUUAGAGUUCUUAUCGAAAAAAAAGAUUGCGACCUCGAUGUUGGAUUAAAAUUAAUUGUUGGUGUAGAAGCUAAUUAAUUAGGUCUGUUCGACCUUUAAAAUUUUACAUGAUCUGAGUUUAAACCGGUGUGAGCCAGGUCG